AGAGAAGCCAGGGGACAGAGCUUGAAGAACCAGACCUGUUGUGCGACAUUGUCACGUGUGCUUUCAAUACACUGAAACAAAACUGAACUGACCAGGUGCCCAAACUUGGGUUCAAUUUGAUGGCGAGCGAGGAACUAUCCUUUUGAGCGCUUCGGUCUGGUAGGAGGCGAACCGCCUGUCCUCUAUCUCCCACCUCCUCCUUAUGGACAUCAUACCCCCUCAAUAUAAUUAAUACUGGACUUUGAAAUAGCUUGGACUCCGUUUUACACCCUGGGCAAACAGACCCAGUUCGCAAGGACAUUUAAUUGAAGUUUGUUUUUGUUGCUGCAGCUGUUGUAUAUUUUGUUCUCACUUUCUCCCUGUAUAAAACACUUUAUUCAUUUUUCAACUAAA